rnacentral:snoRNA from 1 species
GGUCUCUUGCGUCGGCACCUGGGUGGCUUGCCGCCCACACAACCAAAUUAAAAAAUAACACAGAAGGGUAAGGUAAGUCUCCAUUAAACCCAGGAAAGAGACUGGAAAACUCCUCUUUGGAUCCUGUCUAUAGUCACAGGU